UACAGAGGUCCCAAGCGUUGUUCGGAUUUAUUGGGCGUAAAGGGUGCGUAGGCGGCGGAGUAAGUUGGGUGUGAAAUCCCCGGGGCUCAACCUCGGAAUUGCAUUCAAUACUGCUUCGCUAGAGUACUGGAGAGGAGGCUGGAAUUUACGGUGUAGCAGUGAAAUGCGUAGAUAUCGUAAGGAAGGCCGGUGGCGAAAGCGAGCCUCUGGACAGUUACUGACGCUGAUGCACGAAGGCCAGGGGAGCAAACGGG
rnacentral:rRNA from 1 species